rnacentral:rRNA from 1 species
UGUGUGGCAUACGGCUCAGUAACACGUAGUCAACAUGCCCAGGGGACGUGGAUAACCUCGGGAAACUGAGGAUAAACCGCGAUAGGUCACUACUUCUGGAAUGGGUAAUGACCCAAACCUAUAUGGCCCCUGGAUUGGACUGCGGCCGAUCAGGCUGUUGGUGAGGUAAUGGCCCACCAAACCUGUAACCGGUACGGGCUCUGAGAGGAGGAGCCCGGAGAUGGGCACUGAGACAAGGGCCCAGGCCCUAUGGGGCGCAGCAGGCGCGAAACCUCUGCAAUAGGCGAAAGCUUGACAGGGUUACUCUGAGUGAUUUCCGUUAAGGAGAUCUUUUGGCACCUCUAAAAAUGGUGCAGAAUAAGGGGUGGGCAAGUCUGGUGUCAGCCGCCGCGGUAAUACCAGCACCCCGAGUGGUCGGGACGUUUAUUGGGCCUAAAGCAUCCGUAGCCGGUUCUACAAGUCUUCCGUUAAAUCCACCUGCUCAACAGAUGGGCUGCGGAAGAUACUAUGGAGCUAGGAGGCGGGAGAGGCAAGCGGUACUCGAUGGGUAGGGGUAAAAUCCGUUGAUCCAUUGAAGACCACCAGUGGCGAAGGCGGCUUGCCAGAACGCGCUCGACGGUGAGGGAUGAAAGCUGGGGGAGCAAACCGGAUUAGAUACCCGGGUAGUCCCAGCUGUAAACGAUGCAGACUCGGUGAUGAGUUGGCUUUAUGCCAACUCAGUGCCGCAGGGAAGCCGUUAAGUUUGCCGCCUGGGGAGUACGGUCGCAAGACUGAAACUUAAAGGAAUUGGCGGGGGAGCACCACAAGGGGUGAAGCCUGCGGUUCAAUUGGAGUCAACGCCGGG